AGCCUGUGAUGAGCUUUGUUUGACACCUCGUAUGACACCUAAGCCGAGCUUGAUUACACUUCAUGCCUGAGGCUG